rnacentral:rRNA from 1 species
AAUACGUUCCCGGGCCUUGUACACACCGCCCGUCAAGCCAUGGAAGUUGGGAGUACCUGAAGUUCUCUAGCAAUAGAGACCUAGGGUAAAACCAAUGACUGGGGCU